rnacentral:rRNA from 14 species
UCCUUGUCGGGUAAGUUCCGACCUGCACGAAUGGCGUAACGACUUCCCCGCUGUCUCCAACAUAGACUCAGUGAAAUUGAAUUGCCUGUCAAGAUGCAGGCUUCCCGCGGUUAGACGGAAAGACCCCGUGCACCUUUACUACAGCUUCACACUGGCAUCAGGCCAUGCAUGUGCAGGAUAGGUGGUGGGCUUUGAAACCGGGACGCCAGUUCCGGUGGAGCCUCCCUUGAGAUACCACCCUUCGCACUCUUGAUGUCUAACCGCGGUCCGUUAUCCGGAUCCGGGACCCUGCGUGGCGGGUAGUUUGACUGGGGCGGUCGCCUCCUAAAGCGUAACGGAGGCGCGCGAAGGUUGGCUCAGAGCGGUCGGAAAUCGCUCGUUGAGUGCAAUGGCAGAAGCCAGCCUGACUGCAAGACUGACAAGUCGAGCAGAGUCGAAAGACGGCCAUAGUGAUCCGGUGGUCCCGAGUGGGAGGGCCAUCGCUCAACGGAUAAAAGGUACGCCGGGGAUAACAGGCUGAUACUGCCCAAGAGUCCAUAUCGACGGCAGUGUUUGGCACCUCGAUGUCGGCUCAUCUCAUCCUGGGGCUGGAGCAGGUCCCAAGGGUAUGGCUGUUCGCCAUUUAAAGUGGUACGCGAGCUGGGUUUAGAACGUCGUGAGACAGUUCGGUCCCUAUCUGGUGUGGGCGUUGGAUGAUUGAUGGGAGCUGCUCCUAGUACGAGAGGACCGGAGUGGACGAACCGCUGGUGUUCGGGUUGUGAUGCCAAUCGCAUUGCCCGGUAGCUACGUUCGGAACGGAUAACCGCUGAAAGCAUCUAAGCGGGAAGCCGGCCCAGAGAUGAGUCAUCCCUGACAGUUUAACUGUCCUGAAGGGUUGUUUUAGACUAAGACGUUGAUAGGCAGGGUGUGGAAGCGUUGUAAGGCGUUAAGCUAACCUGUACUAAUUGCCCGCGAGGCUUAAU